AUUCCAAUCGAACUCGGAGAUAGCUGGUUCUCCCCGAAAUAGCUUUAGGGCUAGCCUCGUUUUAGAUUACCGGGGGUAGAGCACUGAAUGGGCUAGGGGGCCACAAAGCUUACCGAACCCUAUCAAACUUCGAAUACCGGAUAAUUGAUGAACGGGAGUCAGACGGCGGGAGAUAAGUUUCGUCGUCAAAAGGGAAACAGCCCAGAUCUACGACUAAGGUCCCGAAAUCACAGUUAAGUGGAAAAGGAUGUGCAGUUGCACAGACAACCAGGAUGUUGGCUUAGAAGCAGCCACUCAUUUAAAGAGUGCGUAAUAGCUCACUGGUCGAGUGAUUGUGCGCCGAAAAUGUACCGGGGCUAAACUGUGUACCGAAGUCUAGGGAUCGUGAUAAACGAUCGGUAGGGGAGCAACGUGUGCGGGCUGAAGCCGAAGCGGAAGCGACGGUGGACUGCACGGGAGAGAGAAUGCCGGCAUGAGUAGCGAGAGCAAAGUGAGAAUCUUUGCCGUCGAAAGCCUAAGGUUUCCUGAGGAAGGCUCGUCCUCUCAGGGUAAGUCAGGACCUAAGCCGAGGACAAAAGUCGUAGGCGAUGGACAACUGGUUGAUAUUCCAGUACCACCUUUAGCGUUUGACUGAAGCAGUGACACAGAAGGAUAGACAGAGCGCGUGACUGGUAGAGCGCGUCCAAGCGAUGAGGGAGUUAAGUAGUGAAGCACGCUUAACAAUCCUGGGUCGUGAUGGGGACUGAAAAUAAGUAGGGAAGCUGUUGAAUUCACGCUGGCGAGAAAAGCUGCUAAGGAGCGAAAGGGUGCCUGUACCGCAAACCGACACAGGUAGGCGAGGAGAGAAUCCUAAGACGAGCGGGAGAACCCAUGUUAAGGAACUCGGCAAAAUGACCCUGUAACUUCGGGAUAAAGGGAGCCACGAGAGUGGCCGCAGAGAAUAGGCCCAAGCGACUGUUUACCAAAAACACAGGUCUGUGCGAAGUAGAGAUACGACGUAUACGGGCUGACGCCUGCCCAGUGCCGGAAGGUUAAGGGGAAGUGUUAGGGCAACCGAAGCACGGAACUUAAGCCCCGGUGAACGGCGGCCGUAACUAUAACGGUCCUAAGGUAGCGAAAUUCCUUGUCGGGUAAGUUCCGACCCGCACGAAUGGCGUAACGACUUGGGCACUGUCUCAACAUGGGACCCGGCGAAAUUGUAGUAUGUGUGAAGAUGCACAUUACCCGCGAUAGGACGGAAAGACCCCGUAGAGCUUUACUGUAGUUUAACAUUGGAUUUCGGUAACAUAUGUACAGGAUAGGUGGGAGGCGAAGAACCAGGGACGCCAGUUUCUGGGGAGCCGACCUUGGGAUACCACUCUUGUGUUAUUGGAGUUCUAACGAAUUGCCGUGAACCGGGAUUCGGACAGUGUUAGAUGGGCAGUUUGACUGGGGCGGUCGCCUCCUAAAGAGUAACGGAGGCGUCCAAAGGUUCCCUCAGAAUGGUUGGAAACCAUUCGCAGAGUGUAAAGGCAGAAGGGAGCUUGACUGCGAGACCGACAGGUCGAGCAGGUGCGAAAGCAGGGCUUAGUGAUCCGGCGGUAUGAGAGUGGAAUUGCCGUCGCUCAACGGAUAAAAGCUACCUCGGGGAUAACAGGCUUAUCUCCCCCAAGAGUCCACAUCGACGGGGAGGUUUGGCACCUCGAUGUCGGCUCGUCGCAUCCUGGGGCUGGAUUAGGUCCCAAGGGUUUGGCUGUUCGCCAAUUAAAGCGGCACGCGAGCUGGGUUCAGAACGUCGUGAGACAGUUCGGUCCCUAUCCAUCGUGGGCGCAGGAGAUUUGAGAGGAGCUGUCCCUAGUACGAGAGGACCAGGAUGGACGCACCAAGGGUGAAUCAGUUGUUCUGCCAAGAGCAUAGCUGGGUAGCCAAGUGCGGAUCGGAUAAACGCUGAAGGCAUCUAAGCGUGAAGCCGACCUCAAGAUAAGAUCUCCCACCAGAAAUGGGUAAGACCCCUGGAAGACUACCAGGUUGAUAGGUCGGAGGUGGAAGUGCAGCAAUGCAUGCAGCUGACCGAUACUAAUAGGUCGAGGGCUUGAUCAA
rnacentral:rRNA from 1 species